rnacentral:rRNA from 1 species
GAGUUUGAUCCUGGCUCAGAACGUACGCUGGCGGCACGCCUAACACAUGCAAGUCGAACGAAGUAGCAAUACUUAGUGGCAGACGGGUGAGUAACAUGUAGGUAUCUGCCCUUUGGCCUGGAAUAACACGAGGAAACUUGUGCUAAUACCGGAUAAGUCUUUACGGAGAAAGCUUUAUGCACCAUUGGAUGAGCCUGCACUUGAUUAGUUUGUUGGUAGGGUAAUGGCCUACCAAGACUGUGAUCAAUAGCUGAUUUGAGAGGAUGAUCAGCCACAUUGGGACUGAGACACGGCCCAAACUCCUACGGGAGGCAGCAGUGGGGAAUCUUGCACAAUGGAGGAAACUCUGAUGCAGCGAUGCCGCGUGAGUGAAGAAGGCCCUUGGGUUGUAAAGCUCUUUCGUCGGGGAAGAAAAUGACUGUACCCGAAUAAGAAGGUCCGGCUAACUUCGUGCCAGCAGCCGCGGUAAUACGAAGGGACCUAGCGUAGUUCGGAAUUACUGGGCUUAAAGAGUUCGUAGGUGGUUGAAAAAGUUGGUGGUGAAAUCCCAGAGCUUAACUCUGGAACUGCCAUUAAAACUUUUCAGCUAGAGUAUGAUAGAGGAAAGCAGAAUUUCUAGUGUAGAGGUGAAAUUCGUAGAUAUUAGAAAGAAUACCAAUUGCGAAGGCAGCUUUCUGGAUCAUUACUGACACUGAGGAACGAAAGCAUGGGUAGCGAAGAGGAUUAGAUACCCUCGUAGUCCAUGCCGUAAACGAUGUGUGUUAGACGUUGGAAAUUUAUUUUCAGUGUCGCAGCGAAAGCGAUAAACACACCGCCUGGGGAGUACGACCGCAAGGUUAAAACUCAAAUGAAUUGACGGGGACC